GGAAGUAAAAGUCGUACAAGGUUUCCGUAGGUGAACCUGCGGAAGGAUCAUUCAUAAUAAAGUGUUUUAUGGCACUUUUGAAAAAUCCAUAUCCACCUUGUGUGCAAUGUUAGAUCUCGUCAAUCUUGGCGAGAUUUUUAUACAUCAACUCAUUCUUUAACUAAUUUGUCUGAAAAAUAUUAUGAAUACUUAAUUCAAAAUACAACUUUCAACAACGGAUCUCUUGGCUCUC
rnacentral:misc_RNA from 1 species